UACGAAGGGUGGCAAGCGUUACUCGGAAUCACUGGGCGUAAAGCGUGCGUAGGCGGUUCGUUAAGUCUGUUGGUGAAAGCCCUGGGCUCAACCCUCGGAUGCCGGUGGAUACUGUCGGGCUCGAGUACGGAAGGAGGCGAGUGGAAUUCCUGGUGUAGCGGUGAAAUGCGCAGAUAUCAGGAGGAACACCCGUGGCGAAGGCGGCUCUCUGGUACGUGACUGACGCUGAGACGCGAAAGCGUGGGGAGCGAACAGG
rnacentral:rRNA from 1 species